CAAUAGCGUAUAUUAAAGUUGUUGCAGUUAAAAAGCUCGUAGUUGGAUUUCUGGUGGGAGCGAUCGGUCUGGCGCUUAGCGCGAGUACUUGCAUCGUCUCCGGCCAUCCUUGGGGAGAGUCUGUCUGGCAUUAAGUUGUCGGGCAGAGGAUCCUCAUCGUUUACUGUGAAAAAAUUAGAGUGUUCAAAGCAGGCUUAUGCCGUUGAAUAUAUUAGCAUGGAAUAAUAAGAUAGGACUUUGGUACUAUUUUGUUGGUUUGCGCACCAAAGUAAUGAUUAAUAGGGACAGUUGGGGGUAUUCGUAUUCCGUUGUCAGAGGUGAAAUUCUUGGAUUUACGGAAGACGAACUACUGCUAAAGCAUUUACCAAGGAUGUUUUCAUUAA
rnacentral:rRNA from 1 species